CCCCGGCGCCACAAGUGGCAUCCACAUUUACUUGGCCUAAAGCGUCCGUAGCCGGUUUGAUAAAUCUCUUGUGAAAUCGUUAAGCUCAACUUAACGACGCGCAGGAGACACUUUCUUACUGGGAACCGGGAGGAGUCAGAGGUAUUCCUUGGGGAGCGGUAAAAUGCUAUAAUCCUCGGAAGACCACCUGUGGCGAAGGCGUCUGACUAGAACGGAUUCGACGGUGAGGGACGAAAGCUAGGGGAGCGAUCCGG
rnacentral:rRNA from 1 species